GAAAAAGCAGACUAGAAGUGAUUCAGUUCCAAGAGGAAACUCUCUAAAAAGAGCAGUAUGAGUACUAUGAGAAAUGAGCCAAUUCUAAUCUUCCCUACAUGCAGAAGGCACUGUCACAGAUGGUGAGCACACAGCCACAUAAGGCUAUGACCCUUCUCUACUCAUCCCCUCUUUGUGUGGUUGUACCUUGAGGAAUCAGAAGCUCAGCUGCUGAGCACAAAACAAGAUAAUCAAAGAUGGUGGAAGAAGUCAAUUGGAUGUCUCCUCCCUAAUGGGGUUUCCAGAUCUGAAGCAGUGUCAAGCUGAUAGAAGGGAUGCAGCAUCAGAGAACAAAACUAUCUCUUGCCUCAUGGAGCACACCUUUUGUGAAAGAAACAGACAAGAUGCCCAUGAAAUAAUUAUGUAUCAGGUGACAAUAGUUGCAAGGAAGAAACAAUAAUCUAUGCAAGGAAGAAACAAUAAUCUAUGCAAGGAAAGAGACUAAGGGAAGACACUGCUUCACUGGGGAUGACUGAGGAGAUGACAUUUGAACAGACUGAAGUGAGAAAGCCACAUGGAUAUCUGAGGAAAAAGCUUUCUUGACAGAGAGAAUAGCAAGUGCAAAGGCCCUGAGGCAACAGUGUUUUUAUUGGACAUGAGCACCAUGGCUGUCAGAUAAAAACAAAGAUAUUUUAGAUUUUAG
rnacentral:lncRNA from 10 species